GAUGAACGCUGACAGAAUGCUUAACACAUGCAAGUCGAUUCGAUUUACCUUCGGGUAUUGAGGAUGGCGGACGGGUGAGUAACGCGUAAGGAACUUGCCUCUUGGUCUGGGACAACUGUUGGAAACGACAGCUAAUACCGGAUAUUAUGAGAUUCUCGCAUGGGAAACUUAUGAAAGCUAUAUGCGCCAAGAGAGAGCCUUGCGUUCCAUUAGCUAGUUGGUGGGGUAACGGCCCACCAAGGCGACGAUGGAUAGCCGGCCUGAGAGGGUGAACGGCCACAAGGGGACUGAGACACGGCCCUUACUCCUACGGGAGGCAGCAGUGGGGAAUAUUGGACAAUGGACCAAAAGUCUGAUCCAGCAAUUCUGUGUGCACGAUGAAGGUCUUCGGAUUGUAAAGUGCUUUCAGUUGGGAAGAAGCAAGUGACGGUACCAACAGAAGAAGCGACGGCUAAAUACGUGCCAGCAGCCGCGGUAAUACGUAUGUCGCAAGCGUUAUCCGGAUUUAUUGNGCGUAAAGCGCGUCUAGGCGGAAAAAUAAGUCUGAUGUUAAAAUGCGGGGCUCAACUCCGUAUUGCGUUGGAAACUGUUUUUCUAGAGUACUGGANAGGUGGGCGGAACUACAAGUGUAGAGGUGAAAUUCGUAGAUAUUUGUAGGAAUGCCGAUGGAGAANUCA
rnacentral:rRNA from 1 species